rnacentral:misc_RNA from 1 species
GAAAUUUCUUCCUACUACUGUAAAGUUUGUGGAAACACUGACCCAAAAGUCUCCAUUAUCAUCAAUUCCAGGAGGCCACAGUUUAUGGAUGGCAAGUAAAAUGGACCUACUCUUUUAACGUCUUCCCUUCAAAAUUCCACACGCCCUCGGUCUCCUUUUCACACGCUAUGAGCUUAUGUAUGAUUCUGCUUUCCCUGUUUCCUUUGUUUCUCUGAAAUGGAUCUUGAUCCUGAUCCUGCUCGUAUAAAAAUAGGACUUCUACCAAACAACUUGAAUGCCUUUUGUGCAGCAGAUUGUGAUUCUCAUAAUAUUGAUGGUAAGUGUAACGGUGCUUGCUUCCAAAUCUGUCCUAAUAUAUGUAAAACCUUUGGUCUUAAUGGAAUUCCAUUUCCUCUUUUCCCUAGAUCACAACCACCUCCACAACCACCAGUAACUCUAAAUCUGCCAACUCCAGUCGAUGAAGCGCAAAACCAUCUAAUCGCAACUGCUAUGAUAAUCAUGGGUUGUUUGAUUGGUGCUAUAUUUAUUGUUUGCAUCUUGUGCGCAAUUUUAAGAGCUCGCUCCUCUAGGCAGAGACGUUCAAGAAGCUCACGAAGUGGUCCACCUCUAUUUUUUGGCACCCAAGCGGACUUUCUUGAUGAAGACCAAGGACCAGAAAUCAACCACCCUACAUGGUUCAUCAGAACUGUCGGUCUUCAGCAAUCUGUUAUUGAUUCCAUUUCAGUCUUUAAGUAUAAAAAAGAUGAAGGUCUGAUAGAAGGUACAGAAUGCUCUGUUUGCUUGAAUGAGUUUCAAGAAGAUGAGAGUCUUAGGCUUUUGCCGAAGUGUAGUCAUGCUUUUCACAUUCCUUGUAUUGACGCUUGGUUAAGGUCACACAAGAAUUGCCCUUUAUGUCGUGCCCCUAUAGUAUGCGACAACUUUGAGGUUCAGAUUGAUUUAUCAGUGCCUAAUUCAAGUGAUCUGAAUUCAAGGGGAGAAACCCAGAUAGAGAGUUCUGAGAAUAACAGUGGAUUGGUAAGCAAUCAGCCAGGAGAAGAUGGAACUAGUGAAGUGAGAAAUGGAGAUGAUAUGAAUUAUGCUUUACCAACUGAAGAUGAAGCAAAUGCAGGAAACUCAAAGAUGGGUCUGAAUCUCUCUGUUUUGAGGAAUCAUUCUCGGGUAAAAAGUGAUUUGGUUGACCGUUUACGGACAGUAGAGACAGAAAUGCAACCUAUGGGAUGGUCUGUGUCAACGGAUUCCUCUGCUGAUGUAGCAAUUUACAAUGAUGAGGCUAAUGUUUUUCCUGGUAAACAUGAAGAGAACUUGGAUGCUCAAAUAUUGGAACUGAAGUAUUCUAAAUUGAAAAAUGUUCCAAAGCGUGGAAGUAGUGGGAAUUUAAGCUUUGGGAAACAGGCGAAAAGUUCUUCAAUAGGGCAUGCAUUGCAAAAGGGACCUAUUUCAAUGAAAAGGUCCUUUUCAUCUAGUGGGAAGUCGUCAUCAUGCAGACAUAGCAGAAGCCAGGAUUCUAUCCUUCCGUUGUGGGCAUAAAGCUUUCUUUCCUUUGCAGUGAUGCCUCAUGCUUCAGGUUAGUUAACUGUAGAAUCAAGAAGUACAAACAUUCUCAAGGAUGAGCCAUUGAGCCUAUAUAUAAAUAUAUACUUAUUUUGCACCCCUAUAUAUAAAUAUAUACUUGUUUUGCACCAAGUACAUAAAAAAGUAAUGAGAUAAACGAUAGGAGUCUAGCUCAAAAAACAAACCUUUCAAGCUGGGAAGGAUGAUUUCGUAAUAAAUUUAGAGCUUUUCAAGCAUACGAAGAUACAUGCUAGCUUUAAGCAAUUGUGGCUCUUGUCGCUGCACCUGGAAUCGGCUUUAAUUAUUGCUAUUAACACUAGCCAUUCGAGUGAAAGAUGCUUAUAAAUUAUAAAAAGGAAAUUAUAGUUCAGAACUGGAUUUAGCUUCAUAUUGUUUAUGAUUUCCUUCUUUUUGUCUAUUAAAGAGCUUCUACAAACAAAUUUAUAUGUUUUUUUUGGCUAUACAUAGUUAAUUUUCUUGUUCAUUUUGUUUUUCCUGCAAAUGCUUGCUCAUCCUGCUUUAUUAUGUCAUUGUGAUUUUGAUGUAUGCGUAUAUCCUAUUCUUGAAUUAUUUCAGUCCUAAUUAACAGGCUUGGCUUGCUCAAGCAACCUCUUCCAUGAGAUGCCUUUGGUCUAAACUUAUCCUGAAAAUUUUCCACCCAAGAGAUUUCCCUAAAAAUUGAUAGACUAGCUAGUAACAAAAUGUUGAAUGGACUUGCUGCUGCACAAGCUGAGCUCAAACUUGUUGUUAGCAGUUUGUUGUAUUGGAUCCUAUGAUGGGGUUUUGAGGUUUUCAACUUUUCACAUGGUUCACAUGCUCACCUAUCCUUAGCUUGUGACGCUUAGGAAGUCAAGGGCCAGACAAUAUUUCAACAAUCACAGGCGUACAUGCUUUUUACACUGUGUUGUUCCCCAAUAACGAUUGUCGACUAAUUCGGACGAGGAAAAAGAAAAGUAAUUUUGGCUUGGUAUUAUUAUUUUUUUCCCCCCUUCUAUUUGGUUCUUAGGGCAUUGCUCACAUCACAUGAUAAAAGAGAAUAUAAAUUCUCAAGC